ensembl:miRNA mir-90 ncRNA
UGAUAUGUUGUUUGAAUGCCCCU